ACUAUCCAGACCUCAUGAUUACAGGUAUUCUCGAGUGAAUAAUACAGAAAAGCCUGAUGUUAUUGCUUGAGAAUACACGUAGUAUACGGGUCACUCACCGC
rnacentral:pre_miRNA from 15 species